AGCAUGCCAGGUACCGGUUAGAUAAAGUUUUUCCCCGUGCAUACUCAAAGAUUGCUCCCACACCCGAUGGAUAAACUACUGUCAACUCAGGUCCGUGGCUUCUUCCCAUUACCAACAUUUAAUCGAGUGCAGUAAACAUCAGCUGUAUCGUUCAUUUUCCCUUUUUACGAGUUAAUCUUACUGAAGUUGAAGGAGAAAAUGAUCACUUGAAGAGUAUUCCCUUGUUGAAACAUUUCGAUAAACAGCAACGUGAGUG
rnacentral:misc_RNA from 1 species